UACGUAGGGGGCAAGCGUUGUCCGGAAUUAUUGGGCGUAAAGAGCGUGUAGGCGGUCCGGUAAGUCCGCUGUGAAAGUCCAGGGCUCAACCCUGGAAUGCCGGUGGAUACUGCCGGGCUAGAGUCCGGAAGAGGCGAGUGGAAUUCAUGGUGUAGCAGUGAAAUGCGUAGAGAUCAUGAGGAAGACCAGUGGCGAAGGCGGGUCUCUGGACAGUUCCUGACGCUGAGGCACGAAGGUCAGGGGAGCAAACGGG
rnacentral:rRNA from 1 species